rnacentral:lncRNA from 1 species
GUUGUAGGUUUAUUAUAUUAACUUAAUGUGACUUGGGGUUUUUUUUUAAAUUUUUAUUUAUUUAGCUAUGAUUAUUUUUUUAAAAUAAUUUUAAAUAAAAAUAUUUGUUUUAUCUAGUUAGUAGAAUGAAACCAUGUUUGCAACUUUCUAAUACUAACAAUUUUAUCUUUUAAAAUUAGCUUUGUUGGGCUUGAUUUUUUACUGGGC